UGGGGGGUCGUCUAACUGGCUAAGACACCGGACUUUGGAUCCGGAGAUCGUUUUGGGUUCGAGUCCCCGCCCCCCAGCUA
rnacentral:tRNA from 1 species